UACGGAGGAUGCGAGCGUUAUCCGGAUUUAUUGGGUUUAAAGGGUGCGUAGGCGGGCUGUUAAGUCAGCGGUAAAAGCCCGGGGCUCAACCCCGGCGAGCCGUUGAAACUGGCAGUCUCGAGUUGGAGAGAAGUAUGCGGAAUGCGCGGUGUAGCGGUGAAAUGCAUAGAUAUCACGCAGAACUCCGAUUGCGAAGGCAGCAUACCGGCGCCCGACUGACGCUGAGGCACGAAAGCGUGGGGAUCGAACAGG
rnacentral:rRNA from 1 species